GAUGAACGCUGGCGGCGUGCCUAAUACAUGCAAGUCGAGCGAACGGACGAGAAGCUUGCUUCUCUGAUGUUAGCGGCGGACGGGUGAGUAACACGUGGAUAACCUACCUAUAAGACUGGGAUAACUUCGGGAAACCGGAGCUAAUACCGGAUAAUAUUUUGAACCGCAUGGUUCAAAAGUGAAAGACGGUCUUGCUGUCACUUAUAGAUGGAUCCGCGCUGCAUUAGCUAGUUGGUAAGGUAACGGCUUACCAAGGCAACGAUGCAUAGCCGACCUGAGAGGGUGAUCGGCCACACUGGAACUGAGACACGGUCCAGACUCCUACGGGAGGCAGCAGUAGGGAAUCUUCCGCAAUGGGCGAAAGCCUGACGGAGCAACGCCGCGUUAGUGAUGAAGGUCUUCGGAUCGUAAAACUCUGUUAUUAGGGAAGAACAUAUGUGUAAGUAACUGUGCACAUCUUGACGGUACCUAAUCAGAAAGCCACGGCUAACUACGUG
rnacentral:rRNA from 1 species